GACGAACGCUGGCGGCGUGCUUAACACAUGCAAGUCGAACGGAAAGGCCCUGCUUUUGUGGGGUGCUCGAGUGGCGAACGGGUGAGUAACACAGUGAGUAACCUGCCCUUGACUUUGGGAUAACUUCAGGAAACUGGGGCUAAUACCGGAUAGGAGCUCCUGCUGCAUGGUGGGGGUUGGAAAGUUUCGGCGGUUGGGGAUGGACUCGCGGCUUAUCAGCUUGUUGGUGGGGUAGUGGCUUACCAAGGCUUUGACGGGUAGCCGGCCUGAGAGGGUGACCGGCCACAUUGGGACUGAGAUACGGCCCAGACUCCUACGGGAGGCAGCAGUGGGGAAUAUUGCACAAUGGGCGGAAGCCUGAUGCAGCAACGCCGCGUGCGGGAUGACGGCCUUCGGGUUGUAAACCGCUUUCGCCUGUGACGAAGCGUGAGUGACGGUAAUGGGUAAAGAAGCACCGGCUAACUACGUGCCAGCAGCCGCGGUGAUACGUAGGGUGCGAGCGUUGUCCGGAUUUAUUGGGCGUAAAGGGCUCGUAGGUGGUUGAUCGCGUCGGAAGUGUAAUCUUGGGGCUUAACCCUGAGCGUGCUUUCGAUACGGGUUGACUUGAGGAAGGUAGGGGAGAAUGGAAUUCCUGGUGGAGCGGUGGAAUGCGCAGAUAUCAGGAGGAACACCAGUGGCGAAGGCGGUUCUCUGGGCCUUUCCUGACGCUGAGGAGCGAAAGCGUGGGGAGCGAACAGGCUUAGAUACCCUGGUAGUCCACGCUGUAAACGGUGGGUACUAGGUGUGGGGUCCAUUCCACGGGUUCCGUGCCGUAGCUAACGCUUUAAGUACCCCGCCUGGGGAGUACGGCCGCAAGGCUAAAACUCAAAGGGAUUGACGGGGCCCCGCACAAGCGGCGGAGCAUGCGGAUUAAUUCGAUGCAACGCGUAGAACCUUACCUGGGUUUGACAUGGAUCGGGAGUGCUCAGAGAUGGGUGUGCCUCUUUUGGGGUCGGUUCACAGGUGGUGCAUGGCUGUCGUCAGCUCGUGUCGUGAGAUGUUGGGUUAAGUCCCGCAACGAGCGCAACCCUUGUUCACUGUUGCCAGCACGUUAUGGUGGGGACUCAGUGGAGACCGCCGGGGUCAACUCGGAGGAAGGUGGGGAUGACGUCAAGUCAUCAUGCCCCUUAUGUCCAGGGCUUCACGCAUGCUACAAUGGCUGGUACAGAGAGUGGCGAGCCUGUGAGGGUGAGCGAAUCUCGGAAAGUCGGUCUCAGUUCGGAUUGGGGUCUGCAACUCGACCUCAUGAAGUCGGAGUCGCUAGUAAUCGCAGAUCAGCAACGCUGCGGUGAAUACGUUCCCGGGGCUU
rnacentral:rRNA from 1 species